rnacentral:lncRNA from 1 species
AUGCAGACUGGAUUUUUGCCUGACUACGGUGCUCAGCCUUCUAGACAAUAGUUAUGCUAAGGGAUUAUCUUUUAACAUUGUGCAGUUAUCUCCUUUGUUUGUUUUCUUUUUUCAUUAUUCACAUAAGCCAAGGGAAAUGAAAAGCAUCUUAUUUCAGGCAAAAAGGCCUGUGAAUGAUUAACUCUGGUUCCAUGCGUUGGGACUUUGCAUAGCAACCCCGUGGCUUGCAACGACAAAAAAGCUCAAGGCAGGAACAGCAGCCCAGGGACCUGAGACCAGCGUUCUCAAAUGAAGCCAGAUCUGCUGUUAGAGGAGAAUUCUUCUGUCCUAGCUGUGUCUCUGUGAUCUGUGGAUGAGGGUGGGAAAGCACCACUCAGUCAAUUGGGGUGUACAAAAUGGAGUUUGAGAAGGUCUCACAUCCAGGUUGUUUUGAAGCAAAGUCCAAGCAUUGUAUCACUUCAUCUGCAAAUAUUUCAAUAAGUACCCAAAAGUGGUUGGACUGAGUCCCAUGAAGCCAGAUCACUUCUGACUGCAAGGAGCUUGGAAAAGCAAGUAUCUGGAUCUUUUACCAGCUAAAUUUGGAGCGAUGAGGCUUCCUCUUUGAAGAUCACAGGUGAGAAGAUUAGGUGCUUUCUCAGAAGCCCAGCAACCUGAUGGGAGUGUGGAGUGAGCAAGACCCAAAUCGGAGCUUCAUCCCUGCAUGGUUCAUUUUGCUUAUUUGGCAAACUUGCCCUGCAGAAUCUACUCAAGCUUCCUCAGUUUCUCAAAUCAUUCUUGGGCAACAAAUGAACAAGAAAGAGGACGUCUUAUUAUCUGGUGUCUGGCUUGCUGAUUUAAUAACCUAGGAGACAGUGUUUGAAGAACACAAACUCUAAAGUCCUUCACUUAAAAAAAAAAAAAAACUUUCCCAAAUUGCUUACCAUUUGGAAAAAUUGCCUUACCUUCUUCAGUCAUCUCUGAUGUUGUCAUCCUCAGAGUAAGAAGUACGCAUUCAUAAGGAACCAUAACGUCCUUCAGGAAAUCCAGUACACCCUACAAUUUUACCUAAAACUUUGAUGUUGUUUUUUCUGAGCAUUUUACCUUCUAGGGAAAUGGAUCUCAUGCUGUUUAUCAGUUUCUGAAAGUUGUUAUUAAUCUCCCCUCAUCCCAAAAUUGAAGAACUUUGCUUAAAUCUUAGAAUCAGAACUUUGGCUCCAGUAAUAAAGACUUUUCAAUAUCUUUAUCUGCCAUUGAGUCUUACCUAACGAAAUAAAGCCUCCAAAGUGGGAA